AAUGAACGCUGGCGGCGUGCCUAACACAUGCAAGUCGAACGAGAAAUUCCGGCUUCGGCUGGGAAAGUAAAGUGGCGCACGGGUGAGUAACGCGUGGGUAACCUGCCUUUGAAUCGGGGAUAACUUCGCGAAAGCGUUGCUAAUACCGGAUAUUGUCCUUUAGGCUGUGGCCUUUAGGGCGAAAGGUGACCUCUUCAUGAAAGUUGCCGUUCUUAGAGGGGCCCGCGUACCAUUAGCUAGUUGGUAGGGUAAUGGCCUACCAAGGCUGCGAUGGUUAGCUGGUCUGAGAGGAUGAUCAGCCACACUGGAACUGAAACACGGUCCAGACUCCUACGGGAGGCUG
rnacentral:rRNA from 1 species